GACAGAGGGGGCAAGCGUUGCUCGGAAUUACUGGGCGUAAAGGGCGCGUAGGCGGGAUGGCAAGUCGGUCGUGAAAUCCCUCGGCUCAACCGAGGAACGUCGAUCGAUACUGCUGUUCUUGAGGAUUGCAGAGGAGACUGGAAUUCCCGGUGUAGCGGUGAAAUGUGUAGAGAUCGGGAGGAACACCGGUGGCGAAGGCGGGUCUCUGGGCAUUACCUGGACGCUGAGGAGCGAAAGUGUGGGGAGCGAACAGG
rnacentral:rRNA from 1 species